rnacentral:rRNA from 1 species
CUGCAGAAAAACGCGGUCCUGAGAUUGCGAACUUGCAUACAGGUGCUGCACGGCUGUCGUCAGCUCGUGUCGUGAGAUGUUGGGUUAAGUCCCGCAACGAGCGCAACCCUCGUCCUUAGUUGCUAACAGUUCGGCUGAUAACUCUAAGGAGACUGCCUACGCAAGUAGGAGGAAGGUGAGGAUGACGUCAAGUCAUCAUGGCCCUUACGUCCAGGGCUACACACGUGCUACAAAACUCGUCUGGGGUAUACAAAGAGCAGCAAUACGGUGACGUGGAGCAAAUCUCAAAAAUGCCUCCCAGUUCGGAUUGUAGUCUGCAACUCGACUACAUGAAGUUGGAAUCGCUAGUAAUCGUAGAUCAGCUAUGCUACGGUGAAUACGA